rnacentral:rRNA from 1 species
GUGGGGAAUAUUGGGCAAUGGGGGCAACCCUGACCCAGCGACGCCGCGUGAGGGAAGAAGGCCUUAGGGUCGUAAACCUCUGUUGUGUGGAAAGAAGGAAGUGACGGUACCACACGAGGAAGUCCCGGCUAACUACGUGCCAGCAGCCGCGGUAAUACGUAGGGGACGAGCGUUGUCCGGAAUUACUGGGCGUAAAGGGCGCGUAGGCGGUCAUUUAAGUCAGCUGUGAAAUGGUCCGGCUCAACCGGAUCAUGCGGUUGAAACUGGAUGACUGGAGUGCUGGAGAGGCAAGUGGAAUUCCCAGUGUAGCGGUGAAAUGCGUAGAUAUUGGGAAGAACACCGGUGGCGAAGGCGACUUGCUGGCCAGCAACUGACGCUGAGGCGCGAAAGCCAGGGGAGCAAACGGGAUUAGAAACCCUAGUAGUCC